GGGCCCGCACAAGCGGUGGAUUAUGUGGAUUAAUUCGAUGCAACGCGAAAAACCUUACCUGGCCUUGACAUGCCACUAACGAAGCAGAGAUGCAUUAGGUGCCCGAAAGGGAAAGUGGACACAGGUGCUGCAUGGCUGUCGUCAGCUCGUGUCGUGAGAUGUUGGGUUAAGUCCCGCAACGAGCGCAACCCUUGCCAAUAAUUGCCAUCAUUCAGUUGGGCACUUUAUUGGGACUGCCGGUGACAAACCGGAGGAAGGUGGGGAUGACGUCAAGUCCUCAUGGCCCUUAUGGCCAGGGCUUCACACGUAAUACAAUGGUCGGUACAGAGGGUUGCCAACCCGCGAGGGGGAGCCAAUCCCAGAAAGCCGAUCGUAGUCCGGAUUGUAGUCUGCAACUCGACUACAUGAAGUCGGAAUCGCUAGUAAUCGCGGAUCAGCAUGUCGCGGUGAAUACGUUCCCGGGCCUU
rnacentral:rRNA from 1 species